rnacentral:rRNA from 1 species
GCCUUCCAUGCAAGUCGUACGAGAAUUUUUAAUUCAAGUGGCGGACGGGUGAGUAACACGUAAGAAUUUGCCUUUAGGAGGGGGGCAACAACUGGAAACGGUUGCUAAUACCCCAUAUGCUUUCGAGUGAAAUGGAUUUUUCCGCCUAGAGAGAAGCUUGCGGCUGAUUAGCUUGUUGGUGAGGUAAUGGCUUACCAAGGCGACGAUCAGUAUCUGGUUUGAGAGGACGAUCAGACACACUGGAACUGAGACACGGUCCAGACUCCUACGGGAGGCAGCAGUGGGGAAUUUUCCGCAAUGGGCGAAAGCCUGACGGAGCAAUCUCGCGUGAGGGAUGACGGCCUAUGGGUUGUAAACCUCUUUUUUCAGGGAGGAAUAAAAUGACGUGUACCUGAAGAAUAAGCAUCGGCUAACUCCGUGCCAGCAGCCGCGGUAAGACGGAGGAUGCAAGUGUUAUCCGGAAUCACUGGGCGUAAAGCGUCUGUAGGUGGUUUAGUAAGUCAACUGUUAAAUCUUGAAGCUCAACUUCAAAAUCGCAGUCGAAACUAUUAGACUAGAGUAUAGUAGGGGUAAAGGGAAUUUCCAGUGGAGCGGUGAAAUGCGUAGAGAUUGGAAAGAACACCGAUGGCGAAGCACUUUACUGGGCUAUUACUGACACUCAGAGACGAAAGCUAGGGUAGCAAAUGGGAUUAGAUACCCCAGUAGUCCUAGCCCGUAAACAAUGGAUACUAGAUGUUG